rnacentral:rRNA from 1 species
GACGAACGCUGGCGGCGUGCUUAACACAUGCAAGUCGAACGGAAAGGCCCUGCUUUUGUGGGGUGCUCGAGUGGCGAACGGGUGAGUAACACGUGAGUAACCUGCCCUUGACUUUGGGAUAACUUCUGGAAACUGGGGCUAAUACCGGAUAGGAGCUCCUGCUGCAUGGUGGGGGUUGGAAAGUUUCGGCGGUUGGGGAUGGACUCGCGGCUUAUCAGCUUGUUGGUGGGGUAGUGGCUUACCAAGGCUUUGACGGGUAGCCGGCCUGAGAGGGUGACCGGCCAAAUUGGGACUGAGAUACGGACCAGAAUACUACGGGAGGCAGCAGUGGGGAAUAUUGCACAAUGGGCGGAAGCCUGAUGCAGCAACGCCGCGUGCGGGAUGACGGCCUUCGGGUUGUAAACCGCUUUCGCCUGUGACGAAGAGUGAGUGACGGUAAUGGGUAAAGAAGCACCGGCUAACUACGUG